AACCCACCCAAGGCUGCCUCCCGGACCCACCAGGUGGAGAAGGGACCUCUGCUCCAUGUGUUUCAAGGAUUACAGGAUCCUCUCCUUCCGAGAGGCUAGCGAAGAUUAGAAGGC